rnacentral:sRNA from 1 species
AUUAAUUCUGGGCUUCUUGCUAGAGUGGUAGUAUGUUAGUGCACUGUACUUUAAGGGCUUAAAAGCUGAAUAUAUAGAACUUAUCAGGGCUGUUCAAAUACAGCCAAAAUAGGAAUGUUCCUUUCAACUGUAACUACUUAAUUCUGCUUCAUUCAAGCUAACAAUUGCAUGUAAACAUUCUUACUUUGUUUUAAUUUCAAGCAACACAACUCAGAACAUGCGCGACUGCAAGUUCCUACAUCACAAGUAAGGUGAGUGGACUGCCAGCUCCUGAUGUGUCAUGGUAUCUAAAUGGAAGACCAGUUCAAUCAGAUGAUUUGCACAAAAUGAUAGUGUCUGAGAAGGGUCUUCAUUCACUCAUCUUUGAAGUAGUCAGAGCUUCAGAUGCAGGGGCUUAUGCAUGUGUUGCCAAGAAUAGAGCAGGAGAAGCCACCUUCACUGUGCAGCUGGAUGUCCUUGCAAAAGAACAUAAAAGAGCACCAAUGUUUAUCUACAAACCACAGAGCAAAAAAGUUUUAGAGGGAGAUUCAGUGAAACUAGAAUGCCAGAUCUCGGCUAUACCUCCACCAAAGCUUUUCU